UUUAUAGCGCUGCCAACCAGGACCCGGGCAGGUGUGUCUGUGGCUGGAGAGAAGAGGCCUAGCUCAGGUUGCUAAUAGCAACAGGCACAGCUCUGGCUUUCAGCCGCAGGAAGUCACGUCCAUGCCAGGCUAGUAUCAGCAACAGAGACAGACAGCCCAUCGACCAGUCACCAUGUGACAUACAUUCACAUUCAUCCAAAUGUUGCGGGCGUUCCCGUCGCUGCUCCAGCUGCGUCUUCUAACCUUGCUCUCAUACCUUAGCGACCACGGGUGGCGCUCUCCAAGCAGCGUGUCUAGAAUCCAAAGUAGACUUCCUUGAGAGCCACUUGUGAGAGAAGGCGUCCUCUGUGGCCUAACUGGACCAACAGAAGAGCAGAAGUCACUGGGCGAGCUGUCUGCAAACCAUCCCUACCCCUCUGUCCGGGAGUGUCUCUCGGAGAGAGAGAACAUCGCUUACCAUCGGUCAUUUCUAACUGCGCGAGCAUCCAGAUGGGAGGCCCUUCCAAAAGCAUGCUGCUCCUGAUUAACUUACCUUUCCACACAUGCAAGAAAUUAGGUCAGGCCAUGGAUGGGAGAAGAGAUAAGGACCAAGUCUGAGGAGGCUCGUGGAGCGUGCACUGUUGAGCAGAAUCCUUAAAGUCCUCGCAAAGGUGAGGUUGUGUGACUUCAAUGGGGCUGAAUGGUCACUUCAGCUGGUCCAGAGGUAAGAGAGGACUCCAGCUACCCAAGUCCUCACCCCCAUUCCCAGGGCCCCACUCUUUUACUAUUAUAUUCUGAGUAUGGCGUGGCAGAGUUGCUAGGGUUCAGAAUCAGUGUCUUUGGGGCCUUAGCAUUCUGCCUCCAUCCUCCGUGUCUCCUGCUCCCUAGCUGAGAGGGAUUUACCUCUGAAUAUGCCAGCUUAGGUUACUACAACAUAAGCUAUAGAUGGGUGCCUUUGGGGGAAUAUAGUUGUUUCUCAGUAUGGAGUCUACAGGUUCAGCCCAGGUGCUGGUUAUCUUCCCGAGGGAAGCUUUCUGGACGGCUUCCAGGCCACGGGCUCCCCACAGUGUCCUCCUGAGGAGAGAGUGAGGUCUAGAGUGUCCCUGUCCUUUUGGGUAGGGGCACUGAUCUCAUCAGGACAAAGCCUUACUCUCAGAGCCACAGAGCUUCCAAAGGCCCCGACACCCAGUUCCAUCGCAAAGACAGGCAUGAGUUCCUUCUGUGAGUUUGGGGAGCCACGUUAAGUGCACAGCAGAAGCCUGAUGUUGACCCUUGCGGAUUUCCUUUCCCUUCUCUGACGCAUGAGUCCCAAUCUUGGCACUGUGGGUGUGUGUACUCCUCCUGGGAGAAGGAGUGCCUGUGCAUCUCUGGCUCUUCAUCAUCAGCUGCCAACACAAUGCCCCUCCCCCACUUCAGCCCCCAAAAGUCAAAUAUCUCUAGAAUCCAUUAAAUAUUCCCUUGGAAGCAAAAUGCAGUGUUGUACAGCCCAUCAUUCUAGCACACUAAAGCCUCAGCAAGGAACACCAGAUGGCAUGGUGCUGAGACCCCUGCUAUCCUGUGGUCUACAUGCCCUACAAACACCAAAAUGCUCCCCCACUCUCGUGGUGUGAGUGUGUGUGUAUGGGGGGGUGUACAUGGGUGUGGAGGCCAAAGGUCAAUAAUGGGUGUCUUUUUAAAUGGCUCUCCACUUUAUUUUUUGAGAGAGGGCCUUUUGUUGAACCCGAGAACUCACCAGUUUGGCUAGGGUGGCUGGCAGUCGGGAUGGGGAGUCCAGGUGACUCGCCGGCUGAGCCAUCUCCCCAGUUCUUAUGUCUGAGUUCUUAUAUGUCUGCACCAGCCCAUCACUGUGUGGGGCCACCACAUAGACAGGUCCUGGUGAGUGACAGUUCUACAGUGAUGGGCCUCGAGGUCAGAAAACCGACAGCAGUAGGGGCAAUUGUGUCACUGCCAGCUCUGUGGACACCUGAGAAUGUCCACAUUCUCAGAAUCUGGUGAA